UACGGGGGGGGCAAGCGUUGUUCGGAAUUACUGGGCGUAAAGGGCUCGUAGGCGGCCAACUAAGUCAGACGUGAAAUCCCUCGGCUUAACCGGGGAACUGCGUCUGAUACUGGAUGGCUUGAGUUUGGGAGAGGGAUGCGGAAUUCCAGGUGUAGCGGUGAAAUGCGUAGAUAUCUGGAGGAACACCGGUGGCGAAGGCGGCAUCCUGGGCCAGCACUGACGCUGAGGAGCGAAAGCCUGGGGAGCAAACGGG
rnacentral:rRNA from 1 species